AUUGAACGCUGGCGGCAGGCUUAACACAUGCAAGUCGAGCGAGAGGCGGACGGGUGAGUAAUGUCUGGGAAACUGCCUGAUGGAGGGGGAUAACUACUGGAAACGGUAGAUAAUACCGCAUACCAUCGGAUGUGCCCAGAGGGGAUUAGAUAGUCGGGGGGGAAAAGGCUCACAUAGGCGAAGAUCCCUACCGGGUCUGAGAGGAUGAACGGCCACACUGGGACUGAUACACGGUCCAGACUCCUACGGGAGGCAGCAGUGGGGAAUAUUGCACAAUGGGCGAAAGCCUGAUUCAGCCAUGCCGCGUGUAUGAAGAAGGCCUUCGGGUUGUAAAGUACUUUCGGCAGGGAAGCGUUACCCAAAGAGAAAGCACCGGCUAACUCCGUGCCAGCAGCCGCGGUAAUUC
rnacentral:rRNA from 1 species